UGAGUAACACGUAUCCAACCUGCCGUCUACUCUUGGACAGCCUUCUGAAAGGAAGAUUAAUACAAGAUGGCAUCAUGAGUCCACAUGUCCGCAUGAUUAAAGGUAUUUUCCGGUAGACGAUGGGGAUGCGUUCCAUUAGAUAGUAGGCGGGGUAACGGCCCACCUAGUCAACGAUGGAUAGGGGUUCUGAGAGGAAGGUCCCCCACAUUGGAACUGAGACACGGUCCAA
rnacentral:rRNA from 1 species